AGGGGGUUAGCCAAGCUGGUAAGGCAGCGGAUUUUGAUUCCGCCAUUUCGAAGGUUCGAGUCCUUCACCCUCUGCCA
rnacentral:tRNA from 1 species